CCCUUCGCCGCCGUGCGCCGCGAGAGCUGCAGCUGCGCCGCCGCCCUGGCGCAGGCCACGCCCGACCACUUCCACAUGCAGUCGGAGUCUCUGAUCGGGCCCCUGAUGCAGACCAUCUCCCACCAGCACUGGAAGGUCCGUGUGGCUGCCAUUGAAGCCACAGGUGCAGUGAUCCAGUUUGGCAACGGGAAGUCCGUGGACGACGUGCUUUCCCAUUUUGCUCAGCGACUGUUUGAUGACGUCCCGCAGGUCCGGCGGGCGGUGGCCUCCGUGGUUGGCGGCUGGCUGCUGCAUCUGCGUGACCGUUACUCCUUCUUCCACAAGCUCAUCCCUCUGCUGCUCAGUAGCCUCAACGACGAGGUGCCCGAGGUCAGGCAGCUGGCUGCCAGCCUCUGGGAGGAUGUUGGCCUGCAGUGGCAGAAGGAGAAUGAGGAGGACCUGAAGGACAAGCUGGACUUUGCCCCUCCCACCCCACCCCAUUACCCUCCACAUGAGUGGAUCGUCAUCAGGAAGAAAGGUGCAGCCAGGCGUGGUGGUGCAUGCCUGUAAUACUGAGGUCAGGAGUUCAAGACCAGGCUG
rnacentral:sRNA from 1 species